rnacentral:rRNA from 1 species
CUCAACCUGGGAACGGCAUCCGGAACUGUCAGGCUAGAGUGCAGGAGAGGAAGGUAGAAUUCCCGGUGUAGCGGUGAAAUGCGUAGAGAUCGGGAGGAAUACCAGUGGCGAAGGCGGCCUUCUGGACUGACACUGACACUGAGGUGCGAAAGCGUGGGUAGCAAACAGGAUUAGAUACCCUGGUAGUCCACGCCGUAAACGAUGUCGACUAGCCGUUGGGUCCCUAGAGGACUUUGUGGCGCAGUUAACGCGAUAAGUCGACCGCCUGGGGAGUACGGCCGCAAGGUUAAAACUCAAAUGAAUUGACGGGGGCCCGCACAAGCGGUGGAGCAUGUGGUUUAAUUCGAUGCAACGCGAAGAACCUUACCUACCCUUGACAUCCUCGGAAGCCGACAGAGAUGUUGGUGUGCCUUCGGGAGCCG